rnacentral:rRNA from 1 species
AGCAGCCGCGGUAAUUCCAGCUCCAAUAGCGUAUAUUAAGGUUGUUGCAGUUAAAAAGCUCGUAGUUGAAUUUUAGGCCUGGCCAGGCGGUCCGUCUUUGGCGAGUACUGUCUUGUUGUCGGGUCUUCCUUCUGGUGAACCAGUAUGUCCUUUAUUGGGUGUGUUGGGGAGCCAGGACCAUUACCUUGAAAAAAUUAGAGUGUUUAAAGCGGGCUAUUGCUUGAAUAGAUUAGCAUGGAAUAAUAGAAUAGGACGUUGUGGUUCUAUUUUGUUGGUUUCUAGGACCACCGUAAUGAUUAAUAGGGAUAGUUGGGGGCAUUAGUAUUCAAUUGUCAGAGGUGAAAUUCUUGGAUUUAUUGAAGACUAACUACUGCGAAAGCAUUUGCCAAGGAUGUUUUCAUUAAUCAAGAACGAAAGUUAGGGGAUCGAAGACGAUCAGAUACCGUCGUAGUCUUAACCAUAAACUAUGCCGACUAGGAAUCGGGCGACGUUAUUUCACGACUCGCUCGGCGCCUUAUGG